UAGCAAUACGUUUGUAAAGCGGCGAACGGGUGAGGAAUACAUGGGUAACCUACCCUUGAGUGGGGAAUAACUAGCCGAAAGGUUAGCUAAUACCGCGUACGCUUCUUGGACUUCGGUUCAGGGAGGAAAGCGCUACCGUGGGUAGCGCGCUCUUGGAUGGGCUCAUGUCCUAUCAGCUUGUUGGUGAGGUAACGGCUCACCAAGGCUUCGACGGGUAGCUGGUCUGAGAGGACGAUCAGCCACACUGGCACUGCGACACGGGCCAGACCCCUACGGGAGGCAGCAGUAAGGAAUAUUGCGCAAUGGGCGAAAGCCUGACGCAGCGACGCCGCGUGGGGGAUGAAGGUCUUCGGAUUGUAAACCCCUUUCGGGAGGGAAGAUGGAAUGGGGUAACCCAUUCGGACGGUACCUCCAGAAGCAGCCACGGCUAACUUCG
rnacentral:rRNA from 1 species